GUAUAAACUUAAAGGGCCAAUAAAGUCCCAAUAAAACAUUCUAAAACAUACUAUAACAGGUUUAUGAAAACAUAGAAAGCCCUUUUCCAAGUCAACUUUGUACAAGACAAGUUAACCCUUUAAAGACCUCCUACAAUAAAUGCACAGGUGGAUGAAUAGAUUAGAAAUGGUACGUGCACAUACCUCACAUAUUAUAAGGCCAGCAACAGUACUAUUUCCAAAGUUUCAAUAAUGAUCCUUCCGCAGGUUCACCUACGGAAA
rnacentral:misc_RNA from 1 species